rnacentral:tRNA from 2 species
GGGCGUUUAGCUCAGCUGGUUCAGAGCAUCUGCCUUACAAGCAGAGGGUCGGCGGUUCGAAUCCGUCAACGCCC